rnacentral:rRNA from 1 species
UACGGAGGAUGCGAGCGUUAUCCGGAUUUAUUGGGUUUAAAGGGUGCGUAGGCGGUCUUUUAAGUCAGCGGUGAAAUUCCGGGGCUCAACCCCGGCGAGCCGUUGAAACUGGGAGACUGGAGUCGGUGAAAGGUACGCGGAAUGCGCGGUGUAGCGGUGAAAUGCAUAGAUAUCGCGCAGAACUCCGAUCGCGAAGGCAGCGUACCGGCGCCGCACUGACGCUGAGGCACGAAAGCGUGGGUAUCGAACAGG